rnacentral:tRNA from 1 species
GGAGACGUGCCGGAGUGGUCGAACGGGGCGGUCUCGAAAACCGUUGAGCCUUCACGGGUUCCCAGGGUUCGAAUCCCUGCGUCUCCGCCA